GGAUGUGAGGGCGAUCUAGCUGCGACUUCUUGUCACCCCAGUUAUUGCCAGGUCUGAUUUGACUCACCUGGCUGGCUAGAAGGGUGUCCCCUUUCCUCCUCCCUCCCUUACCACUCUGUGUCCCUGGCAGAGAAGGGCUGUCAAGGGUAUACGCCUAGCCAGGCUUUCUGCUGGACCAUUCACACACAUACCCCAAAGCUGUAAGUUCUU
rnacentral:sRNA from 1 species